CCUACGGGGAGCAGCAGUGGGGAAUAUUGGGCAAUGGGCGCAAGCCUGACCCAGCAACGCCGCGUGAAGGAAGAAGGCUUUCGGGUUGUAAACUUCUUUUGUCAGGGAAGAGUAGAAGACGGUACCUGACGAAUAAGCCACGGCUAACUACGUGCCAGCAGCCGCGGUAAUACGUAGGUGGCAAGUGUUGUCCGGAUUUACUGGGUGUAAAGGGCGUGUAGGCGGGUUGACAAGUCAGAUGUGAAAUCCUGCGGCUUAACCGCAGAACUGCAUUUGAAACUGUUGAUCUUGAGUACUGGAGAGGCAGAUGGAAUUCCUAGUGUAGCGGUGAAAUGCGUAGAUAUUAGGAGGAACACCAGUGGCGAAGGCGGUCUGCUGGACAGCAACUGACGGUGAGGCGCGAAAGCGUGGGGAGCAAACAGGAUUAGAUACCCGAGUAGUC
rnacentral:rRNA from 1 species